rnacentral:rRNA from 1 species
GUAGGAGGCAAGCGUUAUCCGGAUUCACUGGGCGUAAAGCGCGUGCAGGCGGUGCGGUAAGUUGGGUGUGAAAUCUCCCGGCUCAACUGGGAGAGGUCAUUCAAUACUACCGUACUCGAGAGCAGAAGAGGAAGAUGGAAUUCCCGGUGUAGUGGUGAAAUGCGUAGAUAUCGGGAGGAACACCAGUGGCGAAGGCGAUCUUCUGGUCUGUUUCUGACGCUCAGACGCGACAGCUAGGGUAGUAAACGGGAUUAGAGACCCCGGUAAUCCUAGCCGUAAACGAUGUGAACUUGGCGUUGGUGGGUUAAACUCCAUCAGUGCCGCAGCAAACGCGAUAAGUUCACCGCCUGGGGACUACGGCCGCAAGGUUAAA